UUUUUUUUUUUUUUUUUUUUUUUGGUUUUUAAGGCUGUACCUGUGGCAUAUGGAAGUUCCCAGGCUAGGGGUCUAAUCGGAGCUGUUGACACCAGCCUACGCCAGAGCCACAGCAACUCGGGAUCCGAGCCGCGUCUGCAACCUACACCACAGCUCACGGCAACGCCAGAUCAUUAACCCACUGAGCAAGGGCAGGGACCGAACCCGCAACCUCAUGGUUCCUAGUCGGAUUCGUUAACCACUGCGCCACGACGGGAACUCCAUGGAUUCUUAAUCCACUGAGCAAGACCAGGGAUCAAACCUGCAUCCUCAUGGAUACUGGUUGAGUUCGUAACCUGCAGAGCACAACGGGAACCCCUAUUUUUCUUUUAAUAAUUUUUCCCCACUUUUAUCAUUUUAGAUUUAUGUAUUUAAAUAACAUGUGCUUAUAUUCCUCCUAAUUACUAUUAUUCUUUUUCAAAGUUCUCUUGGUUCUUUCACCUGUUUCUUUUUCUCUGCAGGAGCUCAGUACUUGCACUUCAUGACUGGGGUGUAGGGAUGAUAUAAGUGGGCUUUAGGUGUCCUGUGAAGAUCUUGAAAUUUUAUAUAAAAUUAUGUGUGUAUAUGACAGUACAUUUUUCUCUAAGGAGUUACAUAUCUUUUAUUGGCUUUUAAGGUGGAUGCUUAAAUUUAGGAAUCACUGAGAGUUACGUUGUCAAAAUCAGAUAUUCCUAUUGAGAUUUUUGAAUCUGUGGAGGAUAAUAUCAUUCUUUAUGCAAUUUUGUUUUCCCAUCCAGAAGCAUACUGGUGUCUCUUCAUUUAGUGCGGAUUUCUUUUAUGUACCAUAGUAAGUCUUUGUAAUUUUCUUUAUAUAGUUCCUAAACAUUUAUUAUUAAUUUUCCUGUAUUUUAAACCUAGUGAAUCUGCUGACCAGCAUUUUUGAAAGAAAGAAAUGGAAAGAGGGAGAGGGUGAGAAAAAAAGAAAGACGGAGGUUGGAAAGCGAUACACAAAACAUCCUAGGUAGUCCCUAAAGUUUGACAUGCUUCUGGUAAUCUCAUUUUAUUCUGUAAUUUUAUUGUCAAUGUAUUAUAAAACACAUUAUUAGAAAGCCUGACCCUGGGGUCUUUUUUAAGCAUCACUCUCUUGCUUGUGGUUUUGGGGAUCUUUUACAGACUGCAGUGUUGUUCUAGGACAGAACCUUUCCCUCCUUUGCUUUGGUGAGGCAUAACCAUAUCAGGUAACAUUCUGGAACUCUACAUUGCAUAAUCUUGGACAUUUUCAUAUAAGAAGGCACUAAGGAGAUUUUAUUUUUUAUGAAAAAGCAACUCUUAAGUAACAGUGACUGUUUUUUAUGGGAUAGCUCCAGACCGCAUUUGCUUACUUCCCACGCUCUAGUUUUUCUGAUGUCCUAGAAGCUUUAAGUACAGAGGUCAGAAUGACAUUUUAGGGCUCUCCAUCUGAAUUCCAUAAUCUUAAAAUGGAUACUAUUCACCAUAUCAAAAAGGCUAGUUCUAUUUUCUUUAUUUUCUAGAUUAAAAAUAUAUUCACUUUUUGAUAUAUUAAUAUUUUAUUCAUUUUAAACAACUUUUAUCUUGAAGUUGCAGUCUGAAAAAAAUGGUAUAAAGAUUUCUUUUUUAACCUUUAACUCAGAUGCCCAAGAUGCUAAAAUUUCACCAUAUUUGCUGUAUCGUGUGUCCUAUUUUUUUCUGAAACGUUUGAGAAUAGGCUUAUAACAAAAAAAAGAAUAAGCUUAUAGACAUGAUGUACCUUUAGCACCAAGAACUUUAGUGUGUAUUUCUUAAAAAUAAAAAGGCAUUCCUCAGAAUUAGGAAAUAUUGAGAAAAUAUUUGUGUCUAAUCUACAGGCACUCAAAUUUGGUCAUUUGCCCCACUGAUUUCCUUUCUAGGAAAAAAAAUGCCUUUUUACUCCCCUAGUCUAGGAUCCAAUCCCAGAAUCAUGUACUGCAUUUAGUUUGCCCUCUUCAGUCUCCUUUAAUCCAGAACCGUGCCUUGAUUUUUUCAUCUUUCAGAAUUUAAAAAAUACAGACUUCUGCUUUUUUCAAGAAUGCCCCUCAAUUUGGAUUUGCCUGAUGAUUCUGUGAGAUUAGACUUAAACUCUGCUAUGAUCAUUUCAGGAGACAUGUGAUGUCUAUUUUAUUGGUGAUAAUAUUCACUGUGAUCACUUGUUUAAGGUGAUGGUUGAUUUUUUUUUUUUUUGUCUUUUUUGCCUUUUCUAGGGCUGCUCCCCCUGAAUAUGGAGGUUCCCAGGCUAGGGGUCGAAUCGGAGCUGUAGCCACCAGCCUACGCCAGAACCACAGCAGCGCGGGAACUGAGCUGCGUCUGCAACCUACACCACAGCUCAUGGCAACACCAGAUCCUUAACCCACUGAGCAAGGGCAGGGGCCAAACCCGCAACCUCGUGGUUCCCAGUCAGAUCCGUUAAGCACUGCGCCACGAUGGGAACUCCGGUGGUUCAUAUUUUUAAAGAGCACAAUUUUUAUGUUAAGAUUUUGUUUUCCUUUGGUGGAAUGAGUCCUAGAGACCUUUCUAGGACUCAGUAAAAAUAUCUGUUUAAUUGUAAGCCUUAAAAACUUUUUUCUAAGCUCCACCUUACCUUGGACAUUAUCAGCUUCUUAAGACUCUUAUCUGGGAGAAUCAGGCAGGAAAAAGACUUGGAGAGCUUCCAGAGCAGAUGGGUCCUCAGCCUGAAUAUUUGUUUAUAGGGGUUAGGAAGCCUCUGCACCUGAUCGUGACAGAAUUGUUGGUGGAUCCCAUGGGGUAGAAUUCUAUCAUUACUAAUUGAUAAGACAGCUAACAUGUCACUUAUUUUCUUUAUUCUGCAAUUUUAUCAUUUGUUAAAUGGGGAUUGUGAUACCUGUUUUUAAUUACCACAGUGAAAUAUGGGGACAAAAUAAUAGAUCAAUAAAUGUGAAACUUUUUUUUUCACAACCCUCCUUCAUAUAUUUAUGGCGGAAAAGCACAGAAAAGCUGUUGAUUAUUGUUCAUCUAUGUACCGAUGGCCGACACAGAGAUCUCCAGUGCAUUUUUCCAGGAGGUCUGUCCUUGACUUGUUUCUAUUCAGUGCUCCUAUUAAUAACUUUCUUAGAAGAAAUUAUGAAAGAUGUUCUUAGUUUUGUAGAUGACAAAGUCAGAGAAUUCAUAUUCAAAAUUAUCUUGAAAUACUAGAAUUAAAGCCAGGUACUGCAAGAUGACAUUUCCUAAAAUAAGUUCCAAAGAUCAGUUGUAAAAUAGAGGAUUGAAAAGAUGAACUUAAUAUGAGCAACUGCAGAAAACCUAAUUUAAACCUAUAGUCAUCAAAAAGAGGUUAUACUAUUCCAUUCAAAGAAGGUAAUAGUAAAAUUAUCACUGUUUUAAGAAUAUUUAAAAACUAGGGUAUAUCUAGAAAAAGGUAACCAAGAUCUUGAUCUUUUUGUCACAGCGAGAUUUCAGUUAAAUACCAUAUAACUGUUUUUCGGUAAUGAUUAGAAGAUAUUCUUUUGUGUAAAAUGCUGAAGUAAAUGCAACAUUACAUCUUUUUAUCCAUUUUCAUAUUGGCACCUUUUGAAAAGUUUUAUUAAUUUUAUGUAGAUGAAAUACUUUUAAAAUAAUUUCAUAAUUAAAGUCUUAUUCAGCAACCAAUAAAUAUUAUUUAUCCAGUAGAUACUCAUAAAGAUUAGUUAAUAAUGACAAUAUAAUUAAAAACCAGUUUUCUGUGCCUUCAUUUAUAUUUAAGGAAUACAGCUGAAUUCAAAAUAACAAUUUCAAGGUCUAGGUCUUACUGAAUUUCUGAAUUUAUUUUUUACCAUUAUCGCAGUUGCUGUGGAAAUAUAAAGACAGUCUUCAUAAUGGAAUUGUAAAUGGUUAAAAGGUAAUUAUUUAAAGCUACUUGUAUUGGUUUUUGUUCACUUCUUGUUAUUUUGUAAGCUAAAGGUAUGGAACCAAAGGAUUUUUUACAUAAUGAAGAUAAAUUUCUCACAUGUCUGCGAGUCACCUGGUCUGUUUCCAUUCAAUCUCUUAAGUAUUAGUAAAGCAUAUUUCAAGAUGAUUAAAUUAAGAGGAAGAACCUUCUGGAUUUGAGCGCCUCUGCAGCCUACACCACAGCUCACAGCUCACGGCAAUGCUGGAUCUCAACCCACUGAACGAGGCCAGGGAUCGAACCCACCUGCAUCCUCAUGGAUACUAGUUGGGUCUGUUACUGCUGAGCCACAAUGAGAACUCUGUAUGGUCUAUUUUUGAACUCUUUUGUAGUAUUAUUUUUCCUUAAAAUCUUUGAUCAACUUGGCAUUUAAGAGAUGAGGCAGAGAGUCAGCUAUAUUUUUUUCUAGUUAUCUACCCUAUUACCCCAAGACUAUUUAUUGCAUAACUUACCUGGUUUUUCUGUUUUAAAGUAACACCUUUAUCUUAUACUAGGUCUGUCUCCUACUUCAGUCUAUUCUGGUGUACUUUCCACUCAUGCGCGCUACCAAAUUGUUUCUGAUGAUGUCACUUUAGAGGUUUUUUAUACCUGGUAGAUAUAGUCCCAUCUUUUAACUCUAGUUUUUCAGAAUUUCCUGGCUCUUCUUAAAUGUUUAAUUUCCCUAUGAACCUUAGAAUUAACGUGUCUAGUUUCUAAAAAAUCGUACUGAUGUUUUUGAGGAUAUUAAUCUUUAACAUAUGAACAUUCAGUGACUUUACACUCCUAGAAUUUCCUAAGAAAUUUUUUUUCCAUUAUACCAAGUCUAAAAUUUUUCCUUACUACUAUUUUAAAGAUUUCUUCAUAACAUAUUUACUCAUAACUUUUUGAUUUAUUCUUGGAUACUCCAUCAUCUUUUGGUGUCAUUGUAAUGGACUCAUUGUAUUUUUAAAAACUGAUCGUUUUUGAAUAGAGGAAGUCUAUUAAUUUUGAGCCCACUCUUUUUAUCAUAUUCAUGUAUUGUUUGUAAUAGAUUUUUAAUUCAUGUCCCUUGUCCUCAACCCACACUGUGUGUGUGUGUGUGUGUGUGUGUGUGUGUGUGUGUGUGUGUGUGUUUAGGGCUGCACCUGCAACAUAUGGAAGAUCCUAGGCUAGGGGUCAAAUCAGAGCUGCAGCUGCUGGCCUACAGCACAGCCACAGCAACGCCAGAUUCUUAACCCACUGAGCAAGGCCAGGGAUCAAACCUGCAUCUUCAUGGAUACUAGUCAGGUUUUGUUAAUGCUGAACCAUGAUGGGAACUCCUCCCACACUCUUUAUUUAGCUAACUUGCAUUCUUCCUUAAGAUGUCAGCUUCAAGAUGACUUUGUAAGAGCCCUUUCUCAACCUCCAAAUCUCAAGAUCCCCAUUGUACUCCUCUUAGCUUUCUGUACUUCUCCUUAGAGUGCUUGCUGCAGCUUGAAGUUUGAAAUUAUACACUUUUGGUGGGAUUUUGUUGUUGUCUUAACAUUUGUCUUUCCCUCUAUCUUGUAAACUCUGUGUGGGUAAGAAAUGUGUGUAUUUUCUUCCUCUACCUACCUUCAGUGUGGAGCACUGAGCACUGUUCCUACAUGCAGUAGACAGUAGAUACUGCUUGACUGAUUCUUGAUUGAUUAGUUGGUUGAAUGUGUGAUUGGAUUGUCCAUUUGUGGAAAUUUACCUAUUUCUAAUUUUUCAGUCUCUUACUAUUAUUUUGAGUUCCACCACACUUUAAAAAUCACCUCCUGGGGAGUUCCCUUGUGGUGCAGUGGAUUAAGUAUCUAGCAUUGUCACUACAAAAGCUUGGGUUGCUGCUGUGGUGUGGGUUUGAACCCUGUCUAGGGAACUUCUGUAUGCCACAGGCAUGGACAAAAAGAAAACAAAAAAAAAAAAAAG
rnacentral:tRNA from 1 species